GUUAGUCGCAAUUUAAACUUUGUUGUCUCUACAACAAUGAAAUCAUCAAUAUUAAUAUUUGGCUUUUGUAUUUUGGUGUUUGUGUAUACUAUAGAAAAUUAUCCAUUGGAUGAAAAUGGUUUAAUGAAUAUUUCCAAAAUAGAGUUCCUGCACCAUCAAUAUGAAAGUUCAAAUUUCACAAGAUACAACAUCAGAGAAAGAGAUGACCACCAGGCAAGAAUACAAAAUAUUUUCCAAACAAGAUUUUCAAGUGAAAAACCACAUACUUCAAAAAACGGUACUGAUGAUACCCUAAUUAGAGUGUAUAGUCGUAAAUGUAAAUGUAAAAAGGGCUACAUUUGUGAUCGAUAUGGCAAAUGCAAAGAGGACUGGAGUUAGCAACAAAACAAAUUGUUAAAAGUAUUUUUAAAUUAAAUAAAUAUAAAAUUUAACAACUU